rnacentral:SRP_RNA from 1 species
GCCAGGCAUGGUGGCUCAUGCCUGUAAUCCCAGCUACUCGGGAGGCUGAGGCAGGAGAAUCGCUUGAACCCGGGAGGUGGAGGUUGCAGUGAGCCGAGAUUGUGCCACUGCACUCCUGCCUGGGCGACAGAGCGAGAUUCUGUUUCCA